rnacentral:hammerhead_ribozyme from 1 species
AUCCAGUUGACGAGUCCGAAAUAGGACGAAACGCGGGUUCUGUGAU